GAUGAACGCUGGCGGCGUGCCUAAUACAUGCAAGUCGAGCGAACAGACGAGGAGCUUGCUCCUCUGACGUUAGCGGCGGACGGGUGAGUAACACGUGGAUAACCUACCUAUAAGACUGGGAUAACUUCGGGAAACCGGAGCUAAUACCGGAUAAUAUAUUGAACCGCAUGGUUCAAUAGUGAAAGACGGUUUUGCUGUCACUUAUAGAUGGAUCCGCGCCGCAUUAGCUAGUUGGUAAGGUAACGGCUUACCAAGGCAACGAUGCGUAGCCGACCUGGGAGGGGGAUCGGCCACACUGGAACUGAGACACGGUCCAGACUCCUACGGGAAGCAGCAGUAGGUAAUCUUCGGCGAUGUGCGAAAGCCUGACGGAGCAACGCCGCGUGAGUGAUGAGGGUCUUCGGAUCGUAAAACUCUGUUAUGAGGGAAGAACAAAUGUGUAAGUAACUAUGCACGUCUUGACGGUACCUAAUCAGAAAGCCACGGCUAACUACGUG
rnacentral:rRNA from 1 species